rnacentral:rRNA from 1 species
GAUGAACGCUGGCGGUAUGCUUAACACAUGCAAGUCGAACGGACUCUUCGGAGUUAGUGGCGGACGGGUGAGUAACGCGUGAGAAUCUGGCUUUGGGUUCGGGACAACCACUGGAAACGGUGGCUAAUACCGGAUGUGCCGAGAGGUAAAAGAGAAAUUGCCUGAAGAUGAGCUCGCGUCUGAUUAGCUAGUUGGUGAGGUAAAGGCUCACCAAGGCAGCGAUCAGUAGCUGGUCUGAGAGGAUGACCAGCCACACUGGGACUGAGACACGGCCCAGGCUCCUACGGGAGGCAGCAGUGGGGAAUUUUCCGCAAUGGGCGAAAGCCUGACGGAGCAAUACCGCGUGAGGGAAGAAGGCUCUUGGGUUGUAAACCUCUUUUCUUAGGGAAGAACAAAAUGACGGUACCUAAGGAAUCAGCAUCGGCUAACUCCGUG